rnacentral:rRNA from 1 species
UUUUAAUUGAAGCUUGAAUGAAUGGUUGGACGAGGGAUAAGCUGUCUCCUUUACGGUAUUUGAAUUUAACUUUUGAGUGAAAAGGCUCAAAUUAUUUAAAGGGACGAUAAGACCCUAUAAAACUUGAUAUAGUUUGAACUUAACUUGCGGUUUAAGUGAAAAGUAGUUUUGUUUGUUUUAUAUUUUGUUGGGGAGAUAGAGAUAUAAUGUGUAACUGUCUAUUGAAUUUUAUAGUUUUAAUUAGUAUUUGAUCCUUCUUUGGGGAUUAAGAGAGUAAGUUACUUUAGGGAUAACAGCGUGAUUUUCUUUGAGAGUUCUUAUCGACAAGAGUAGUUGCGACCUCGAUGUUGAAUUAACA